AGAGCGAACGCUGGCGGCAGGCUUAACACAUGCAAGUCGAGCGGGCGUAGCAAUACGUCAGCGGCAGACGGGUGAGUAACGCGUGGGAACGUACCUUUUGGUUCGGAACAACCCAGGGAAACUUGGGCUAAUACCGGAUAAGCCCUUACGGGGAAAGAUUUAUCGCCGAAAGAUCGGCCCGCGUCUGAUUAGCUAAUUGGUGAGGUAAUGGCUCACCAAGGCGACGAUCAGUAGCUGGUCUGAGAGGAUGAUCAGCCACAUUGGGACUGAGACACGGCCCAAACUCCUACGGGAGGCAGCAGUGGGGAAUAUUGGACAAUGGGCGCAAGCCUGAUCCAGCCAUGCCGCGUGAGUGAUGAAGGCCCUAGGGUUGUAAAGCUCUUUUGUGCGGGAAGAUAAUGACGGUACCGCAAGAAUAAGCCCCGGCUAACUUCGCGCCAGCAGCCGC
rnacentral:rRNA from 1 species